AAAAAAUGAUGACCCGUAUUUUUGGGUUGGUGUCUGAGCAAGCUGCUUGAACCCUAACCUGUCCCGCUUCAUUUCACGGCCAUCCAUCACCCUAUUUCACCUCUUCCCCAUGCCAAUAGGAUUUUUACCUAAACAACAACAUACACACUCAACGCUUUUUUUUUUUUUUUUUAAAUUUCCUCCUAUUCUUUUUUCGUUUAGUCUCUUUUUUCUAUUUAUUGAUUCAAUUAUUUGCUGGUGACAUAAGCCUCUGGUUGCUUGAUAAGUUGAGAUUUGUUGGCUUGAGGUUGAGUUCUGAAUACACAAAUAAAGUGAAAUUAAAUUAAAUAUCCAAAAAUAAAGUUUCCAAAACAAAUUUAUCCAAUUUCAUCAACAUUAAGCAAAUAUGCCCAAUAAUCAUGUAAUGACGAAACUGCCCUUCAUAAAAGAAAUUUGAAUGACGGAAAAGGAAAAGCCGAACACACGAAAUUUGCAAACCCAGCCACGCGCCUUCAGCCGUCCAUCUACCGCAACUUCCACCGGCGAUUUUCUUGACUUUUCCGGCGACUGAAAUGACCGAAAAGCUCCUACUCCUAAUGGUAAUAAUGCUUCGAAGAUCGGAGUGAAUUCAAACUUCUUCAUCUCCAUUAUCUUGAGUCUCCUUCAUCUCUAUCUUUAUUGUUAACAUUACAGUACUUAUGGGUUUGCUCAAUAUUUUUUUUCAUGUUGUAUUGAGAAUAGGAAUGGUGUAUUGUGGUGUUAUGUUUUGAUGUAGUAAUAGUGGAUGAGAAUUAUGCCUGCAAUGCUGAAAGCUGGUGCGGUGUAUUUAACUCUUUCACUUGAAAAGUUGUACCUCAAUCAUUAUAUAUGUAAUUCUAUUAUGGGUGGCAAUAAAAGUCUAUUCUUACUUGA